CAGUCAGAGGCGAUGAAGGACGUGCUAAUCUGCGAUAAGCGUCGGUAAGGUGAUAUGAACCGUUAUAACCGGCGAUUUCCGAAUGGGGAAACCCAGUGUGAUUCGUCACACUAUCAUUAACUGAAUCCAUAGGUUAAUGAGGCGAACCGGGGGAACUGAAACAUCUAAGUACCCCGAGGAAAAGAAAUCAACCGAGAUUCCCCCAGUAGCGGCGAGCGAACGGGGAGCAGCCCAGAGCCUGAAUCAGUGUGUGUGUUAGUGGAAGCGUCUGGAAAGGCGCGCGAUACAGGGUGACAGCCCCGUACACAAAAAUGCACAUGCUGUGAGCUCGAUGAGUAGGGCGGGACACGUGGUAUCCUGUCUGAAUAUGGGGGGACCAUCCUCCAAGGCUAAAUACUCCUGACUGACCGAUAGUGAACCAGUACCGUGAGGGAAAGGCGAAAAGAACCCCGGCGAGGGGAGUGAAAAAGAACCUGAAACCGUGUACGUACAAGCAGUGGGAGCACGCUUAGGCGUGUGACUGCGUACCUUUUGUAUAAUGGGUCAGCGACUUAUAUUCUGUAGCAAGGUUAACCGAAUAGGGGAGCCGAAGGGAAACCGAGUCUUAACUGGGCGUUAAGUUGCAGGGUAUAGACCCGAAACCCGGUGAUCUAGCCAUGGGCAGGUUGAAGGUUGGGUAACACUAACUGGAGGACCGAACCGACUAAUGUUGAAAAAUUAGCGGAUGACUUGUGGCUGGGGGUGAAAGGCCAAUCAAACCGGGAGAUAGCUGGUUCUCCCCGAAAGCUAUUUAGGUAGCGCCUCGUGAAUUCAUCUCCGGGGGUAGAGCACUGUUUCGGCAAGGGGGUCAUCCCGACUUACCAACCCGAUGCAAACUGCGAAUACCGGAGAAUGUUAUCACGGGAGACACACGGCGGGUGCUAACGUCCGUCGUGAAGAGGGAAACAACCCAGACCGCCAGCUAAGGUCCCAAAGUCAUGGUUAAGUGGGAAACGAUGUGGGAAGGCCCAGACAGCCAGGAUGUUGGCUUAGAAGCAGCCAUCAUUUAAAGAAAGCGUAAUAGCUCACUGGUCGAGUCGGCCUGCGCGGAAGAUGUAACGGGGCUAAACCAUGCACCGAAGCUGCGGCAGCGACGCUGAUGCGUUGUUGGGUAGGGGAGCGUUCUGUAAGCCUGUGAAGGUGUGCUG
rnacentral:rRNA from 1 species